GUAAAAGCAAUGAAGGUGUUUUGUAGAGAACUGUACUGCUUGCAGAGAGAGAGGAUCAUCGGCUGGAAGUCCUCUUAAGAAAAGACAGUUAUCGAAUUUCCCACUGGAGCUGCAUAUCUGAAGGAAUCAUUGGCAGUAGGAUAUGUCGUUUUCUGUACGUUACGCAGGAGAGUGUCUAAGAAUUUCCAUGCAUGAAUCAGGCAGUGGAAUUUUUAGAAAUCAGGGUGGUACCGCGGAUGAUUUCGUCCCUAUG
rnacentral:ncRNA from 1 species